rnacentral:rRNA from 1 species
AGUGAGCGCUGGCGGUAGGCCUAACACAUGCAAGUCGAACGGCAGCACAGUAAGAGCUUGCUCUUACGGGUGGCGAGUGGCGGACGGGUGAGGAAUACAUCGGAAUCUACUUUUUCGUGGGGGAUAACGUAGGGAAACUUACGCUAAUACCGCAUACGACCUACGGGUGAAAGCAGGGGAUCUUCGGACCUUGCGCGAUUGAAUGAGCCGAUGUCGGAUUAGCUAGUUGGCGGGGUAAAGGCCCACCAAGGCGACGAUCCGUAGCUGGUCUGAGAGGAUGAUCAGCCACACUGGAACUGAGACACGGUCCAGACGCCUACGGGAGGCAGCAGUGGGGAAUAUUGGACAAUGGGCGCAAGCCUGAUCCAGCCAUACCGCGUGGGUGAAGAAGGCCUUCGGGUUGUAAAGCCCUUUUGUUGGGAAAGAAAAGCAGCAGGUUAAUACCCCGCUGUUCUGACGGUACCCAAAGAAUAAGCACCGGCUAACUUCGU